AAUUGCUAUAAAUGGAGGAGAAUUAGCAUUCCCCUGGAUAGAGAUGGAAGAGGCCCUGAGAUCUACACACACAUACACAGUUAAGGCUUUGCUGCCCAUUUUGUGACAUCUGUUUAUUUCAGGUU
ensembl:snRNA